UACAGAGGUCUCAAGCGUUUGUUCGGAUUCAUUGGGCGUAAAGGGCGCGUAGGCGGACCUGUGUGUCUGACGUGAAAUCUCCACCGCUUAACGGGGAGAGGCCGUUGGAAACUGCAGGUCUGGAGUUUGUCAGAGGACCAUGGAAUUCCAGGUGUAGCGGUGGAAUGCGUAGAUAUCGGGAGGAACACCAGUGGCGAAGGCGACUACCUGGCCUGUUCUUGACGCUGAGGCGCGAAAGGCUAGGGGAGCAAACGGG
rnacentral:rRNA from 1 species